rnacentral:rRNA from 1 species
GAUGAACGCUGGCGGCGUGCCUAAUACAUGCAAGUCGAGCGAACAGACGAGGAGCUUGCUCCUCUGACGUUAGCGGCGGACGGGUGAGUAACACGUGGAUAACCUACCUAUAAGACUGGGAUAACUUCGGGAAACCGGAGCUAAUACCGGAUAAUAUAUUGAACCGCAUGGUUCAAUAGUGAAAUACGGUUUUUCUGUCACUUAUAGAUGGAUCCCCGCCGUAUUAGCUAGUUGGUAAGGUAACGGCUUACCAAGGCGACGAUGCGUAGCCGACCUGAGAGGGUGAUCGGCCACACUGGAACUGAGACACGGUCCAGACUACUACGAGAGGCAGCAGUAGGGAAUCUGCCGCAAUGGGCGAAAGCCUGACGGAGCAACGCCGCGUGAGUGAUGAAGGUCUUCGGAUCGUAAAACUCUGUUAUUAGGGAAGAACAAAUGUGUAAGUAACUAUGCACGUCUUGACGGUAACUAAUCAGAAAGCCACGGCUAACUACGUG